rnacentral:antisense_RNA from 1 species
GUAGGAUUGAACACAGUCGGUGAACCUUGCGCCGUCUGCCUCAAGUCCCCGCUUGGCAAAACCACUCCCUCCUGGUGGACACCCUCACCAUGAAGGUGGCUGGCCAAGAGAAGCCUGCCCGGUGAUGCUGAGGCACGGAACUGAGCAGAGGAGGAAGGAACGCCUGGGAGCAGCUGAGCCGAGCCCCUGCCACCAGCCGCCUCCGCACGCCCGUGGAAUCAGCACUUUCUGCUUCCCGCCCCUGAGAGCCUUGCUCUGGAGCCACUCACAGCCAAUUAAGUGGGGAGGUUGUAAGAGACUCUAAAAUACGUGGAGCUGGCUGAGGACGCGGGCCCGACCCCAUUAUGUGUGUGAGGCCACUGAUUAAAGAGUUAUCUGUCA